GAAUAUAUGGGACAUGCAUUGCAAUCCUAUGCUUGCCACACUGCUGCAGUAUACUUGUUUUGCAGAGCUCUGUAGCAGGCUAGUCAAAGCUGUGACUAACCAGAUCCUUGGAUACAUACUCUAAUCUCUGGUCUUUAUUUUUGCAAUGAAUUUGAUUUGUUCAUUGAUUGUAUAUUUUUUCUGAUUUGUGAGAAGCUUCAUGCUCUGUAUUUGGAUGCUGCCUGCAAUACAACAAUAGUCUUUAAUACGAGUCACAGUGUACACUCUGUGGGGAGCCUGAAGUGAGGCACUGAAAGUGAUUUAUAGUGUGCCUGCCUGUUGAAGAUGAGGAGAAGGAAUCGAUUACACUUG